rnacentral:rRNA from 1 species
UACAGAGGUGGCAAGCGUUGUUCGGAAUUACUGGGCGUAAAGGGCUCGUAGGCGGCCAACUAAGUCAGACGUGAAAUCCCUCGGCUUAACCGGGGAACUGCGUCUGAUACUGGAUGGCUUGAGUUCGGGAGAGGGAUGUGGAAUUCCAGGUGUAGCGGUGAAAUGCGUAGAUAUCUGGAGGAACACCGGUGGCGAAGGCGGCAUCCUGGACCGACACUGACGCUGAUGAGCGAAAGCCAGGGGAGCAAACGGG